rnacentral:lncRNA from 1 species
GUUUAUAAGUAACAGGCACAACUGCAUAGGUCUCCCCUGGACCUUAACCUGGUGGGAUUUCAGGUGUUGAGAGCUUCACAUGGUGGUUGAGGAAGGCCAUGGGGCUGUCCCUGCAGGAUGACGGAGAGUGGAUGGAGCCUCGCUGAGCCAAGAGACAAUGUCAGCAGAUUGGGGCAUCUAGGAAGGUCUACAGGAGAAGCAUUCAAGUUUGACUUUGUGUACUGAUGAGCUUCAGCCAUUCCUCCAUAGCUACUGGGAGUUGUGAGGCCACCCUCUCUGCACAGGCCAGGAAGGGGG